GAUUAUUAUUUAUACUCAUAACAGCCCACAUUUUUCAUUUAUUCACACUUUUCUACACAUUUUAUAAACUUUUACAGAAAAAGUCCCUAUUUAACAUUUUUAUCGAAAAUCACUUUGCAAAAGUCAUUUAACGAACAACAAACAUGCAUUUUCUACCAUCAACCAUCAAAAUACAAGAACAUCCAACAUGGGUAAAAUUUUUUACUUUAAUUUUCUUUUGGAUUUGUCCUUGAAAUAGCUAAAUCAAGUUACAACGAUCUCAAAAAUGUAAAAUUCGUUAAAAACGGGACAAGAAUAGACUUACAAUCGAGCUUGAAAGCUUGGACAAAACCCUAGCUAUGGUCUCCCUCAAAAUUUCGGCUAUAUGGGCUAAAUUGAAGAAGAUGACAUCUUUAUUUUAGUUAAUUUGUCUUUAUUUACUAGAUUACCAAAAUGCCCUUCACUUAAACUUUGAAUUUUUUUCCUAGCCAUGCCCAUUUUUGUCCAUCCUAAAGUAUAAUGGUCUAAUUACCA
rnacentral:lncRNA from 1 species